UGGGUUAAAGCUUAAUAAUAGCGUCUCAGUUACGUUGAGAAGAUCACUAUAUGGUUUAGUGUGGCCUGA
rnacentral:tRNA from 1 species